rnacentral:rRNA from 1 species
CGUAGGGUGCGAGCGUUAAUCGGAAUUACUGGGCGUAAAGCGUGCGCAGGCGGUUUUGUAAGACAGGCGUGAAAUCCCCGGGCUCAACCUGGGAACUGCGCUUGUGACUGCAAGGCUAGAGUACGGCAGAGGGGGGUGGAAUUCCACGUGUAGCGGUGAAAUGCGUAGAGAUGUGGAGGAACACCAAUGGCGAAGGCAGCCCCCUGGGUCGAUACUGACGCUCAUGCACGAAAGCGUGGGUAGCAAACAGGAUUAGAUACCCUGGUAGUCCACGCCCUAAACGAUGUCAACUAGGUGUUGGGUGGGUAAAACCAUUUAGUACCGGAGCUAACGCGUGAAGUUGACCGCCUGGGGAGUACGGCCGCAAGGUUA